rnacentral:rRNA from 1 species
AUGUCGCGAGGAGGAGGAGGAGGAGGAGGAGAUGGCGUCACGGAGCAGGAUCCCCCACCGGCGACCAGCCCCCGUGGACGCGGCGAGGACGCUCCAUCCCUUUUGCCGUCGCUCGCCGUCGUUGCUCCAGAGAAGAAGAAGAAGCUGAUGCGCGAGCACGAGCAGCAGCCCUCGGCGGACCUCCCAGACGACGUCCUCAUCGAGAUCCUCUCGCGGGUGGGCUACAAGUCGCUCUGCCGCUUCAAGUGCGUGUCCAGGCCGUGGCUUGAUCUUUGCUCCGGUCUCGACAUCCGCAAGAGGCGGUCGCCACAGACCCUCUCUGGCCUCUACUUCUUCGGAUAG